rnacentral:rRNA from 1 species
GACGAACCGUGCGAACGUUGUUCGGAAUCACUGGGCUUAAAGGGCGCGUAGGCGGGUUCGCAAGUCUGUGGUGAAAGCCUCCAGCUUAACUGGAGAAGUGCCGUGGAUACUGCGAAUCUUGAGGAGGGUAGGGGCGUCUGGAACGGUCGGUGGAGCGGUGAAAUGCGUUGAUAUCGACCGGAACUCCGGUGGCGAAGGCGGGUCUCUGGGCCGAUACUGACGCUGAGGAGCGAAAGCGUGGGGAGCGAACAGG